GACGGGUGAUGCCAGCGUUAUCCGGAAUCACUGGGCGUAAAGCGUCUGUAGGUGGUGAUGCAAGUCACUGGUGCAAAACUCUGGCUCAACCGGAGGAAAGCCAGUGAAACUGCAUGACUAGAGUGUGGGAGAGGUAGAAGGAAUUCCCUGAGUAGCGGUGAAAUGCGUAGAUACAGGGAAGAACACCGGAGGCGAAAGCGUUCUACUGGAACACAACUGACACUGAGACACGAAAGCCAGGGGAGCGAAUGGG
rnacentral:rRNA from 1 species